AGAACGAACGCUGGCGGCAUGCCUAACACAUGCAAGUCGAACGAGACCUUCGGGUCUAGUGGCGCACGGGUGCGUAACGCGUGGGAACCUGCCCUUAGGUUCGGAAUAACUCCUCGAAAGGGGUGCUAAUACCGGAUGAUGUCUUCGGACCAAAGAUUUAUCGCCUAUGGAUGGGCCCGCGUUGGAUUAGCUAGUUGGUGAGGUAAAGGCUCACCAAGGCGACGAUCCAUAGCUGGUCUUAGAGGAUGAUCAGCCACACUGGGACUGAGACACGGCCCAGACUCCUACGGGAGGCAGCAGUAGGGAAUAUUGGACAAUGGGCGCAAGCCUGAUCCAGCAAUGCCGCGUGAGUGAUGAAGGCUUAGGUUGUAAAGCUCUUUACCGAGAUGAUAAUGACAGUAUCGGAAGAAUAAGCCCCGACUAACUCCGUGCCAGCAGCCGC
rnacentral:rRNA from 1 species